rnacentral:lncRNA from 10 species
UCUGCCUCCCCGGUUCAAGCGAUUCUUUUGCCUCAGCCGCCUCAGCAGCUGGGACUACAGGUGCAUGCCACUGUGCCUGGCUAAUUUUUUGUAUUUUUAGUAGAGACGGUUUCAUCAGGUUGGCCAGGCUGGUCUCAAACUCCUCGCCUCAAGUGAUCCACCCGCCUCUCAAAGUGCUGGGAUUACAGGCAUGAGACAGCACCUAGCCAGAAGAAUUUGACCCAGGGGGCAUAUGGUGGAAGGAAAGCCCAAGGCAACACCUGGGCCUCAGGACUGCGUGAUGGGUGCCCCGUGAAAUCUAAUUCCACUGUGAACUAUGCUGACAUCCAUCAAGGCCUUUACCUCCUACCUCUUGGUUUGAAAUGGGUCUCCAAGACUUCCACCAUCCACAACUGAUCCAGAAAUGGCUCUGGCAGUACCCAAGGGUUCCUUGAAGGCAGGUCUGGGUCUGGUUCUCCGGAUCCCAACACCACGAGGUACUUUAUUUUAAAAGGAUUAAAAAAGCCACUGCUUGUCAAAUCUUGAACUAAAGGACUAACACCAAUUCUCAUAACAUCCUUAAGCCGGCCAUGUGAAAUGGGUGCUGUAAUUACCAUCCUAAUCUUAAGGGCAUGGAAAAUAAAGCACAGAGGGUAAAUCCUAUGGCUAAUCAGGAGCAGAGGUUGGUUUUGAUGUUGAAUGUGUGCACUCUGAGCCCAGAGUCGAUGACUAGAUAUAAAUGCAUCCAAGCCCAGCCCCCAAGAUGCUAGUUAGGUGGUGGCACAAGGUGGGGAUGUGACAAGGCAGCUGUUGCUUGCUGCUUUAUGAGAGGUACAGAUGGACAGACCCCAAGGAAUCACACUGAGCAACGUUUCAACCAGAAAUAGAAAUGGUCUUGGAAGGUGGAGGGCAGGACAGGCGUGCCCAGAAAAGCAGGAGCUGUAAUCCCAUCGUCACUUCCUCUGGCAACACGGGGACUGCCUGCCAUGCCCUAACUCCUCCUUGUGCUUUUGGCCUUCGCCUAAGAGUUCCUUGGAGUUUCUUCACAGCAUCUGUAGCCAUCUGAAGUGUCAUCUUCUGUACUAUAUUGCCAGUGCCUACAAUUACGACUGGUAUACUCAACCAGGCGGCAGUGGUCUUGUACAAUCUCUCUCUGUAUUCUCAAGUCCCCAUCUGCGAGCAUGGCUACUGGAAAUAACUGCAGCUGUAUACUGACUUAAAGAUCCAAAAAUCCCAGGAAGGACCCCAGAGCUGUGAGCCAGAAGCCCAAGGCCCUCCCAGCCUGAAAGCCCCAGGCCAAGCCUGAACUAUAUGCAGUCAUCCCCAUGAGAAUAUAAACUCCAUGAGGGCAGCAACUUGGCUGGCCUGUGUGCCAGUGCUGGGGACAUCACUGAGAAAUGAAGGCCCAUUUGGCAGGCUAUUUUUGAGCAAGAUUCCUGAGGCCCAAUCGUUGGGUGAUGAGAUGGACCCGAGGUAUUUCACUCCAGCUCUCGAGCCAAAAGAACUGACCACGUCCUCACCACUGCUCUGCGCCAGAUUUCAUCCAAGCAAAGAGAGGAUCACAUGGAGAUGAAAACACCCCACUUCCUUCAUCUGGAUGACACCUUGUUUAGAAGCCCAUCACUCGGCCAGAGAAGAAAUAUUUAGAUUGAGAAACAGCUUUUUGUUGUGCCCUAAGCCCAUUCUACCUUUAUGAUUCAACUAAAAAUUUAUUUCCACUUAAAUAAAACCAGCAAUUCUGAGCUUCCCCUCCCGUCACAGGUUUCCUCCCAGAAAGUCUAUCAUGAAAAUACUGCUCAAAAAUCAUCUGUAAAAAGGUAAAUUAACACAUAUUCUUGGCUCCCUCUUCCUUAUCUCAGCUAUUCAGCCUCUACACUUUUUCAACUAUUUUAUCACCUUUUUUAAAUAGGCAACACAGGAGUGUAGAAUAAGAGCAUGAGGGGGGUGAAUACAUGAAAAAGUGAGUCUUCCCACCUUGGUCCUCCACUAAGUGACGGUUACUUUUUAAUGUGUCUUUCUACAGGUAUACAUUACACAUAGAAGCACGUAUGUAUGCACCGGUGGAAGUAUAUAUCCUCAUAUUUGGUGUUUGGUUUUUUUUUUUUUUUUGUAGAUUGAGACUGUGUCUCCCAGACUGGAAUGUAAUGACACAAUGUCAGCUCACUCCAACCUCCACCUCCCGGGUUUAAGUGAUUCUCCUGCCUCAGCCUCCCAAGUAGGUGGGAGUACAGGCGUGCACCACCAUGCCUGGCUAAUUUUUGGAUUUUUAGUAGAGAUGGGUUUUCCUCUUGUUGGCUAGGCUGGUCUCACACUCGACCUCAGGUGACCCAACCACCUUGGCCUCCCACAGUACUGGGAUUACAGGUAUAAGCCUCUGUGUCUGGCCCAUAUUUGCUAUUUCUAAAAUUAGAAAGGUAUUGUGUGGUACUCUUCCAUGCUUUAUCCUCUUAGUAAUAAUGUCAUGGAGAUUUUUUCCAUAUCACUACAUGCGGUAUGGAAGGUAUUCCCUUUACAUGUGAGUGUACAUCAGCCUCAGUAUUCUAGCCCAUAGGUUGGCAAACUUCCUAUAAAGGGUGAGACUAAACAUACUAGGCUCCAGGGAGGCAUUCCAUCUCAGUUACAACUCAACUUUGCCCUUAUAAUAAGAAGCUAUACAUGAAGUGUGAAUGACUGGGCAUGUUCCAAUAAAACUUUACUUAUAAAAAACAGGUGGAGGGUAAGAUUUGGCCUGUGGGCCAUCAUUUUCUGAUCUCUGUUCUAGUCUGAACCAUCUUUGGCUGUUUCACCACAGUCAUGCGGCCAAGGAGGCAAGGCCUGGCCACACAGGGCACAGAAGCCAUGAUGGGCCUUGUCUGCAAGUAGAAAUCACCUGCUAAUCACCAACAGGUCUCAAAGUAAAUGCUGGAACACACUUUGUAGGGUGACUCUCCUGGCCCCAAGCAGCAUCUGCGACAUCAAGAUGCCGGGCCUUGGGACUGCCUCAAGCUGGUUUCGGCAGCUAUGCUCUUUACAGAGCGUGUGGAGGGCAAGGACUCUGGAGUAGAAAAAGGUGCAGGUCUUAGGGCUGGGGUCCCAGGGUGGAAGCCCACUCCAUGCCUUACUGGCUAUUUGAGAUAGAGGAUGAAAAAUGGCAUGAACAUCUUUGUAUGUGUGAGGAUCUUCCUGUUGCCCACGCUGGAGUUCAAUGGUGCAAUCUUAGGUCACUGCAACCUCCACCUCCCAGGUUCAAGAGAUUCUCCUGCCUCAGCCUUCUGAGUAGCUGGGACUACAGGUGCACACCACCACCCAUGGCUAAUUUUUGUAUUUUUGGUAGACAUGGGGUUUUGUCAUAUUGACCAGGCUGGUUUCCAACUUCUGACCCUGAGUGAUCUACCACCUCAGCCUCCCAAAGUGCUGGGAUUACAGGGAUGAGCCACCAUGGCUGGCAGACACAAGCAUCGUGAGGGGUGCCUAGCCCCUGCAGACACUCCAUGAACAGCAAAUGUGAUAACUGCUAAAUCAAAACUACCCCAGAAUUUUCCAUCUGCUAUGUCCCCAAGAAAUGACACUGUAACAGGGAGCCGAACACUAUGAUGCCUGCCCAGCUGCAAGAGUGGACUCACCUAAGAUACUCCACAAGCUUUUUAUGCUGUUACAACGGACCCAAAGCACGGGAGAGCAGGGGCCUCACUUGUGCUGUUGCUUGAGAGUUCCCUAAAUGCCAGGCCAUAGCAGGUACUGAAGAAUACCUACAGCCCGAGUGAGUGCUGCUAUGUGUAGGGUUCAGGCCAAGGGCCCUGGCUGCAGAGCAGAGGAACUGAGAGCUAGACAGGGCUGGGCCUGCCAUAGGAAAACAACAGCCCAGCUAUGACCCAGCACUGUGGUGGCUGGGGGAUGAGAGAUGAGCUCAGCACAGAAAACACCUUGGAGCCCUGGAUGUACCCCUCCUACACCAGUACAAUGCCCUGCAGUGCUCUGGGCUUUAAACUUCACUUCUUGCUGAGUUGACACCAAAUGAGGCCCCUGAAGAGCCUCUUCUGCUGUGGGGCUUGGACAGAGUACCCGGGCCUGGAGUGGGACUUACAGGGAAGCCAGCAUCAUAGAAAAUCCCUAGAGGGAAUUCCCAGAAGGCUGCACCCUCAAAGCAUCUGGUCCAGACAAGACAACCCUGACUAGUCAUCCUGAAAGCCCGGUGCUGUCCAAAAGACACAGAUGCCAUGGUACAGGGAUGUGGCACAGUGGGGAGCCAGAGGUAGGUUACAAAGGAGACCUUAGAAGGUGUGGGACUCCCUUCCAUGUGGGUGCAGAGUGCCCACUGUCAUUCCCCAUGGAGGCACCAAGCCAGGAGAGUAGGGCUCCAGGGACAGUAGCUUCCAGCCUUCCCAGUCAGGUCCACAUCUGGUGAGCCAGAAGGAAGGAAAUGUAACCUAACACUGUGGCAGGAUCCAGCGUGGCCUUGUGGGAGGCGCUGUGGGAUGAGCAAGAGAGCAAAUGUGUGUGGCCAAGAUGAAGAAUGAACAGGGAUAGAAAAUUCCUACUUGUCCCAAGAAAUAGACCUCAAUGUCCCUUAGCAACAUCUUUUUAUGUCAUGCCUGACCGUGUGUGUGCCAGGGGUGGUGCUUGCCUUACCAAUAUGAGCAGUGCAAAAGUCCAGGAUGCCACGUUCACUCGAGACCCCUGUGCCAUGCUGUCUCCCAAAAGACUGAGCACCUUGAGGGCAGACUGGGAAUUGAGGUAUCCCUGAACCCCUAAGAGCAGCUCCUAUACAGCCCUAGAACUGCUGCUGAAGGAAGUGGCUCAUUUUGCUAAACUCCAGUUUGGAAUCUGGGGCUCAGUAAGGCUGUCCCUGCAGAGCAUUCUUGAGCCCAUUCUGUUCGGUAGCCAGGCAAGUGUGAGCAGCUGCAGCUUCACAGGAGGAGGCUUAGAGGGGCAGUGAUGGGUGCCAUGCUAUGCAGAUCCCAGACAGGAACGCGGGGGCCAGGUUUUAUUACAGGAGAUGGUGCUUGGGGUGGGAAUCAUAUCUCCAUCCCAUGGGACAGCUUAGUGGUGCUGAGGCUGACUUCGUGGGGGUGUAUUUAAUCCUCGUGAGGGAGGGGGAUGUUAACCACAGCUCAGGACUCUGUUCUUCCAGUUCCUCUUUCUCUCACACCCACAUUGAAACCAGCAAGUUCUGGUAGUUCUACUUUGAGAAUACCCCUUCCCAGGCUGCCUGAGGCACCAUCCCCUCUCCCCGGGGUGCCCACAUGGUCCCCUAACUACCUGUUCUAUCACCCAUAACAAAGCUCUACCCUUUGCUGACUCCACAUGGCAGCUAGAGUUCCCUUGGCUGCAAGGCCUCUCUGUUCCUGGGCUACCCUGGCUUCCUUGCUGUUUCUCCCAGGGGCCAACUCUUCAAGGCUGCAGGACCUUUGCACCUGCUGUGUCCACUGCCUGGCUCCCUGCCUCAGGUCUCCACUUCGGGUCAAACUAUCCCUGUCAUCUUCCUAGACCAUAAACAGCACAUCCCCAGCAGGCUUCUUUCCCUCUGUGAUGACUGUGAUGUCAUUUCCUGUCUUUUCACUGGAAAUCGCCACCUCACAUAGGCAUGUCUGCCUCACUAUUCAAUGUCUGUGUCCCCCAUGAAAACAGAUGCUUUAUCUGCUGUUGAACUAUCAGGAUCUGAAAUGGUGCACUGGCUUCCAGCUGCACUCCUAGCCCUGGAAAAACCAAACCAGCCUGAUCUUACUGGUGACUGUAUAAUCUUAAUCCCUUUAUUUUCAUAUAUUUUGAAAGCAAUCCUAAUUGUCUGUAUUUAAAAUUUCCUUUGUUGCAUGGAAGGUAGCUGUUUAAAUGUCUAAUUUUCUCCUAUCUUCUUAGUUUUCUAGUCAAAAUAAUAGCUUUAAUCACAGUGGGUCUAGAUGGAUUCAAAAAGGAAGAUUUAUCCACUCUUCUUGGUAAUUGUUU